CCUACGGGAGACAGCAGUGGGGAAUAUUGGACAAUGGGGGCAACCCUGAUCCAGCCAUGCCGCGUGUGUGAAGAAGGCCCUCGGGUUGUAAAGCACUUUCAGUGAGGAAGAACGCCUGGUGGUUAAUACCCAUCAGGAAAGACAUCACUCACAGAAGAAGCACCGGCUAACUCCGUGCCAGCAGCCGCGGUAAUACGGAGGGUGCGAGCGUUAAUCGGAAUUACUGGGCGUAAAGCGCGCGUAGGUGGCUUGAUAAGCCGGUUGUGAAAGCCCCGGGCUCAACCUGGGAACGGCAUCCGGAACUGUCAAGCUAGAGUGCAGGAGAGGAAGGUAGAAUUCCCGGUGUAGCGGUGAAAUGCGUAGAGAUCGGGAGGAAUACCAGUGGCGAAGGCGGCCUUCUGGACUGACACUGACACUGAGGUGCGAAAGCGUGGGUAGCAAACAGGAUUAGAUACCCGAGUAGUC
rnacentral:rRNA from 1 species